AGGUAGCAUAAUCAAUAGUUUUUUAAUUGAAAGCUGGAAUGAAUGAAUUUACGAGAAAUUAACUGUCUUUAAUUAAAAAAUAAAAUUUUAUUUUUAAGUUAAAAAGCUUAAAUAUUAUUAAAAGACGAGAAGACCCUAUAGAGUUUUAUAUUUAUAUAAAUUUAUAAUUAAUUAAUUUUAUAAAUAUUUUAUUGGGGUGAUAGAAAAAUAUAUUUAACUUUUUUUUUAUAAAAACAAUUAUAUUUGAUUAUUUGAUCCAUUUUUAUGAUUAAAAGAUUAAAUUACCUUAGGGAUAACAGCGUA
rnacentral:rRNA from 1 species